UACGUAGGCAGCAAGCGUUGUUCGGAGUUACUGGGCGUAAAGGGUGUGUAGGCGGUUGUUUAAGUUUGGUGUGAAAUCUCCCGGCUCAACUGGGAGGGUGCGCCGAAUACUGAAUGACUUCGAGUGCGGGAGAGGAAAGUGGAAUUCCUGGUGUAGCGGUGAAAUGCGUAGAUAUCAGGAGGAACACCGGUGGUGUAGACGGCUUACUGGACCAUGACUGACGCUGAGGCACGAAAGCGUGGGGAGCAAACAGG
rnacentral:rRNA from 1 species